rnacentral:rRNA from 1 species
UUUGGUUAAGUUAGAAAGGGCGCACGGUGGAUGCCUUGACACUAGGAGUCGAUGAAGGACGGGACUAACGCCGAUAUGCUUCGGGGAGCUGUAAGUAAGCUUUGAUCCGAAGAUUUCCGAAUGGGGAAACCCACCAUACGUAAUGGUAUGGUAUCCUUACCUGAAUACAUAGGGUAAGGAAGACAGACCCAGGGAACUGAAACAUCUAAGUACCUGGAGGAAGAGAAAGCAAAUGCGAUUUCCUGAGUAGCGGCGAGCGAAACGGAACAUAGCCCAAACCAAGAGGCUUGCCUCUUGGGGUUGUAGGACAUUCUAUACGGAGUUACAAAGGAACGAGGUAGACGAAGCGACCUGGAAAGGUCCGUCGUAGAGGGUAACAACCCCGUAGUCGAAACUUCGUUCUCUCUUGAAUGUAUCCUGAGUACGGCGGAACACGUGAAAUUCCGUCGGAAUCUGGGAGGACCAUCUCCCAAGGCUAAAUACUCCCUAGUGAUCGAUAGUGAACCAGUACCGUGAGGGAAAGGUGAAAAGCACCCCGGAAGGGGAGUGAAAGAGAUCCUGAAACCGUGUGCCUACAAAUAGUCAGAGCCCGUUAACGGGUGAUGGCGUGCCUUUUGUAGAAUGAACCGGCGAGUUACGAUCCCGUGCGAGGUUAAGCUGAAGAGGCGGAGCCGCAGCGAAAGCGAGUCUGAAUAGGGCGUUUAGUACGUGGUCGUAGACCCGAAACCAGGUGAUCUACCCAUGUCCAGGGUGAAGUUCAGGUAACACUGAAUGGAGGCCCGAACCCACGCACGUUGAAAAGUGCGGGGAUGAGGUGUGGGUAGCGGAGAAAUUCCAAUCGAACCUGGAGAUAGCUGGUUCUCCCCGAAAUAGCUUUAGGGCUAGCCUUAAGUGUAAGAGUCUUGGAGGUAGAGCACUGAUUGGACUAGGGGUCCUCAUCGGAUUACCGAAUUCAGUCAAACUCCGAAUGCCAAUGACUUAUCCUUAGGAGUCAGACUGCGAGUGAUAAGAUCCGUAGUCAAAAGGGAAACAGCCCAGACCGCCAGCUAAGGUCCAAAGUGUGUAUUAAGUGGAAAAGGAUGUGGAGUUGCUUAGACAACUAGGAUGUUGGCUUAGAAGCAGCCACCAUUUAAAGAGUGCGUAAUAGCUCACUAGUCGAGUGACUCUGCGCCGAAAAUGUACCGGGGCUAAAUACACCACCGAAGCUGCGGAUUGAUACCAAUGGUAUCAGUGGUAGGGGAGCGUUCUAAGGACAGUGAAGUCAGACCGGAAGGACUGGUGGAGUGCUUAGAAGUGAGAAUGCCGGUAUGAGUAGCGAAAGACGGGUGAGAAUCCCGUCCACCGAAUGCCUAAGGUUUCCUGAGGAAGGCUCGUCCGCUCAGGGUUAGUCAGGACCUAAGCCGAGGCCGACAGGCGUAGGCGAUGGACAACAGGUUGAUAUUCCUGUACCACCUCUUUAUCGUUUGAGCAAUGGAGGGACGCAGAAGGAUAGAAGAAGCGUGCGAUUGGUUGUGCACGUCCAAGCAGUUAGGCUGAUAAGUAGGCAAAUCCGCUUAUCGUGAAGACUGAGCUGUGAUGGGGAAGCUCCUUAUGGAGCGAAGUCUUUGAUUCCCCGCUGCCAAGAAAAGCUUCUAGCGAGAUAAAAGGUGCCUGUACCGCAAACCGACACAGGUAGGCGAGGAGAGAAUCCUAAGGUGUGCGAGAGAACUCUGGUUAAGGAACUCGGCAAAAUGACCCCGUAACUUCGGGAGAAGGGGUGCUUUCUUAACGGAAAGCCGCAGUGAAUAGGCCCAAGCGACUGUUUAGCAAAAACACAGCUCUCUGCGAAGCCGUAAGGCGAAGUAUAGGGGGUGACACCUGCCCGGUGCUGGAAGGUUAAGGAGAGGGGUUAGCGUAAGCGAAGCUCUGAACUGAAGCCCCAGUAAACGGCGGCCGUAACUAUAACGGUCCUAAGGUAGCGAAAUUCCUUGUCGGGUAAGUUCCGACCCGCACGAAAGGUGUAACGAUUUGGGCACUGUCUCAACCAGAGACUCGGUGAAAUUAUAGUACCUGUGAAGAUGCAGGUUACCCGCGACAGGACGGAAAGACCCCGUGGAGCUUUACUGUAGCCUGAUAUUGAAUUUUGGUACAGUUUGUACAGGAUAGGCGGGAGCCUUUGAAACCGGAGCGCUAGCUUCGGUGGAGGCGCUGGUGGGAUACCGCCCUGACUGUAUUGAAAUUCUAACCUACGGGUCUUAUCGACCCGGGAGACAGUGUCAGGUGGGCAGUUUGACUGGGGCGGUCGCCUCCUAAAGUGUAACGGAGGCGCCCAAAGGUUCCCUCAGAAUGGUUGGAAAUCAUUCGUAGAGUGCAAAGGCAUAAGGGAGCUUGACUGCGAGACCUACAAGUCGAGCAGGGACGAAAGUCGGGCUUAGUGAUCCGGUGGUUCCGCAUGGAAGGGCCAUCGCUCAACGGAUAAAAGCUACCCCGGGGAUAACAGGCUUAUCUCCCCCAAGAGUCCACAUCGACGGGGAGGUUUGGCACCUCGAUGUCGGCUCAUCGCAUCCUGGGGCUGUAGUCGGUCCCAAGGGUUGGGCUGUUCGCCCAUUAAAGCGGUACGCGAGCUGGGUUCAGAACGUCGUGAGACAGUUCGGUCCCUAUCCGUCGUGGGCGUAGGAAAUUUGAGAGGAGCUGUCCUUAGUACGAGAGGACCGGGAUGGACGCACCGCUGGUGUACCAGUUGUUCUGCCAAGGGCAUAGCUGGGUAGCUAUGUGCGGAAGGGAUAAGUGCUGAAAGCAUCUAAGCAUGAAGCCCCCCUCAAGAUGAGAUUUCCCAUAGCGUAAGCUAGUAAGAUCCCUGAAAGAUGAUCAGGUUGAUAGGUUCGAGGUGGAAGCAUGGUGACAUGUGGAGCUGACGAAUACUAAUAGAUCGAGGACUUAACCAUAUAA